GAUGAACGCUAGCGGCAGGCCUAAUACAUGCAAGUCGAGGGAGAAUGUUGGAUUCGUCUGACAUGAAACCGGCGCACGGGUGCGUAACACGUAUGCAACCUACCUUUAACUGGGGUAUAGCUCAGAGAAAUCUGAAUUAAUCCCCCAUAAGACUACGACAUGGCAUCAUGAUGUAGUUAAAGCUCCGGCGGUUAAGGAUGGGCAUGCGGUACAUUAGCUAGUUGGUGAGGUAAUGGUUCACGAAGGCUACGAUGUAUAGGGGGUCUGAGAGGAUGAUCCCCCACACUGGUACUGAGACACGGACCAGAGUCCUACGGGAGGCAGCAGUAGGGAAUAUUGGUCAAUGGGCGCAAGUCUGAUCCAGCCAUGCCGCGUGAAGGAUGAAGGCCCUAUGGGUCGUAAACUUCUUUUAUUAGGGAAGAAAAAACGGGAUGCGUCCUGUACUGACGGUACUUAAUGAAUAAGGAUCGGCUAACUUCGUGCCAGCAGCCGCCGUAA
rnacentral:rRNA from 1 species